rnacentral:rRNA from 1 species
UACGUAGGGUGCAAGCGUUAAUCGGAAUUACUGGGCGUAAAGCGUGCGCAGGCGGUGAUGUAAGACAGUUGUGAAAUCCCCGGGCUCAACCUGGGAACUGCAUCUGUGACUGCAUCGCUGGAGUGCGGCAGAGGGGGAUGGAAUUCCGCGUGUAGCAGUGAAAUGCGUAGAUAUGUGGAGGAACACCGAUGGCGAAGGCAGCCUUCUGGGCCAACACUGACGCUCAUGCACGAAAGCGUGGGGAGCAAACAGG